rnacentral:rRNA from 1 species
UCGCACCUACCGAUUGGAUUUCUCGGUGAAAUCUUCGGAUCCUGACCACGACACCCUCGGGUGAUGCGGACGGGAGAAGUAGAUUAAACCUCGAUGUCUAGAGGAAGUAA